rnacentral:rRNA from 1 species
AGCGAACGCUGGCGGCAGGCUUAACACAUGCAAGUCGAGCGGGCAUCUUCGGAUGUCAGCGGCAGACGGGUGAGUAACACGUGGGAACGUACCCUUCGGUUCGGAACAACUCUGGGAAACUGGAGCUAAUACCGGAUGCGCCCUUAUGGGGAAAGGUUUACUGCCGAAGGAUCGGCCCGCGUCUGAUUAGCUAGUUGUGGGGGUAACGGCAUACCAAGGCGCCGAUCAGUAGCUGUUCUGAGAGGAUGAUCAGCCACACUGGGACUGAGACACGGCCCAGACUCUUACGGGAGGCAGCAGUGGGGGAUAUUGGAAAAUGGGCGCAAGCCUGAACCAGCCAUGCCGGGUGAGUGAUGAAGGCCUUAGGGUUGUAAAGCGCUUUUGUCCGGGACGAUAAUGACGGUACCGGAAGAAUAAGCCCCGGCUAACUUCGUG